rnacentral:lncRNA from 1 species
ACUUAGACGCGAGAACCAGUGACACCAUAUGCUCAUACCAAAUUCAAACUCCACAAAUUGAAAUACAUAACACUCAAGAUUGAAGUCAAAGGUUGUAACGGGCUUGGGGUGUUGGCUAACAAAUGAAGGAUAGGGAUAACAAACGUUCUUAAAGCAAUAGCAAGAAAAGUAAUGAAAUGGAAACUUAGAAUUCACUUAGAUUGCAGUAAUCAACUUUUAAACACGAAGGGAAGAUUCAAGCAAUAUUUAGGGCCGAAUUCAAUGUUUUGGACCCUUUCUUCAACAAGCAACACUUUAAAACUCUUUUUCACAUAUUUUUCAACUCCUUUUCUUUUCACAGCUCUUCUUCUUUUCAUUCUAUUUUUCACGAAUCUUU